GGAAUAUUGGGCAAUGGGCGCAAGCCUGACCCAGCGACGCCGCGUGAGGGAUGAAGGUCUUCGGAUUGUAAACCUCUUUCAGUGGGGAAGAAGCGAAAGUGACGGUACCUGCAGAAGAAGCACCGGCUAACUAUGUGCCAGCAGCCGCAGUAAUACAUAGGGUGCAAGCGUUGUCCGGAAUUAUUGGGCGUAAAGAGCUCGUAGGUGGUUUAUCACGUCGGAUGUGAAAUUCUGAGGCUCAACCUCGGACCUGCAUUCGAUACGGGCAAACUAGAGUGUGGUAGGGGAGACUGGAAUUCCUGGUGUAGCGGUGGAAUGCGCAGAUAUCAGGAGGAACACCAAUGGCGAAGGCAGGUCUCUGGGCCAUUACUGACACUGAGGAGCGAAAGCGCGGGGAGCGAACAGGAUUAGAUACCCUGGUAGUCCGCGCCGUAAACGGUGGGCACUAGUUGUGGGAACCUUCCACGGUUUCCGCGACGCAGCUAACGCAUUAAGUGCCCCGCCUGGGGAGUACGAUCGCAAGAUUAAAACUCAAAUGAAUUGACGG
rnacentral:rRNA from 1 species